rnacentral:lncRNA from 1 species
AUCAGUUGCAUUUGUCUGCUGUCUUCUGGAAGGACACAAAUGAACCUCUGCAUCAGAGGGCUCUAAUUGGAUACAACUGCGGGUUUUGUUCGGCUUCAAGAUGCGAGACUCCCUUCAGCCUGUGUUUGCUGGAGAAUCUGCAGAUUCAAAGCAUCCCACCAUGAAGACAAUCAGCCUCCAUGGGCUGAACUUCAGAGCACUCAGGCGAGAAGGCCACUCCACCUCUUUCCAUCCCUGGGAGUCUGCACUGCUGAGCCAGAUACCUGCAGCCAGGCAGACUGGAUGCCGUUGUUUCAGUGCUGCCCCAGCUUGCAGCUCCAGGAAGCAGGGACACCAGCUGAAAUGACAAAGAAGUUUAAGCAGAGAUGAAGAGAAAGCAGAAAUUUGGGGACCGGCCCGUCAGGACUUGUUCAGGCCUCACUGAUUUGCAGUCUGAAGCAGCGACACGGAUCUGCAGCGUAUCCUGAGCCUCAUUUCUCAACCUUUGAGGGUUAUUUAAGGGAUCUCUGGUCCCCGGUGAGGCUGAGUCAGAAAAGCCAUCUCUGCACAGACAGGAGGGGGAUUAAGUCGGGUCCUGCUUCCCCUUUUAAGCUGCAGGAGAUACCAGCGAGGCCGUUCCCAUGGGACAGAGAUUAUCUCAUUGCUUUUGCUGGAAACGUCUGAGGGAUGCAGCGCAGGGAGAUGAUGGAUGGCUGUGAAACAUGAAGCGUGGAUCCAAGGGAUGGCUCUGCACACGCUUUACAUUUGCUUAAGCCAGAGAAGGACGUGGAUAUGCCGACUACCUGAUAAAGGUCUUUAAUCCUACAGUUGGACUUUCUGUGGGGUUGCAGGGAGCUUUGCUCCUUAUCUAUCCCGGAAUGUUACUGAUGUCGUGGACUCCAGCAAAGGUGAAUGUCCCAAUUUCAGGUCAAGUUGAUGCUGAUAGGGGUGCAGCUGUGGGAUCUGAAACGGAUUAAGGCCGGCUAUAUGAAUUUCAUAAAUAGUAAUACUAAACCAGUGCACACCUUAGGCUGAUAUUAAACAGGGGAUGAGUUGGUAUUCAUCCUUAAUAGCGAAUGCAUUAUAAUGAAAUGGAAACAUCAGGUUUUACUUACAAAGCCCAGGUUUCCCAUAGGAGGCGGUUUAUGGAGUGACCAUUUAUUAAAGACAAAUGCUAUCAUUCGAAACAUAUCUCAUGUAGAGAGGGGGACGGGCUGAUUCGGAGGAGCGGUAAUGAGAGCCGGAGCUUUGCAUUUACAAGGCAUUGAUGGAAGCAGGCUGAGCAUCAAGGCAAGGUGCACUGUCCCCCUGAGCCUCAGCAGCACUGCGAGGUGCUGAGCGCUGAGCCCCGACCCCAAAACCGAAUGGUAACACAUAUCGAGCAGCAGGCAGAAAGCAAAGCCGGUUCUCUCGAGUCAGAGCAGUCAUGUGCUUAAAAUAAGUCCAUCUUGGAGAGGAGCCAUCACCUCAGCAGGGCUCUGGGGGCUGAGCAGGGCUGGGGUGCUAAGCUCUGCUCUCUGCACUGGAAAUCCCCAGAAAUACGAGCUGGCUGCUGCUGAAUGGCUCCGGGUCUGCGUGAUGCUGUCUGAAGGAGCAGGCAAGAGAGCGCCAGGGGUUGUGCUCCAUCCUGUCGUUGCCACGUGGGUGGGUAACUGCGUCCUCAGGUUUUGCUUGUUUCAUCUUUGUGGUUUUGUCAUUCAUUGGGAAUUUCCAGCUCACGGCUGCCCUACGUACACACAGUUCACAGCUCUGGUGCGCUCUGAAGCACUAUGAUUCAUUCAAGUGGAAGGAGAAUGCGCAGAGCACCCUCAGGCCUGAGCCCAGGAGGGCAGUGCUGAUGGUAGCAGAGGGCACAGUGCCUCUUCUGCACACUCAGAGGCUUCUGUGACCUGAGGAGCGUACACAAAAAGGAAGGGAGAUCCCCCAUGUUUUAAUGUGCUCCUGCUGAGGGAUGCCAAUGUCAGCACCCACAGCCACAGCCCUUCCAAAGCCACAUGGCUUCCCUUUCACUUCAUGAGUUAGUGAUUUGGAAUUGCAGGGCAAAUGUUAAAUGUUAACAACUGCUGGUAAAGUCACAUCUGCAGAUCGUUUUGCUGUUCACCUGGAAAGAAACAGCUCUCAUUCAAUUAAUCAAAGAAGUAUAUGGUGGCUUUCUGGAUAGAUGCUGGCACCCUGACAGGACGAUGCUGUUCGUUCUUUGGGAUUGAAUCAGAAAUCCAGGAUGAGGACAUCAUUUGGAGGAAGUGGCAGGUAAAAUUGCAUGCUUUCUAGAAGCAUAGAUUUGGUUUGUUGCGUGUAGGAAGACUUUCUGGCUCAUUGUAGUAUGACAUUUGCAACCAUUUAAUUUGAAUAAAUUCCAUUUUUAUGUUCCAUCCGGCUUUUAAUAUGUCAGCCAAACCAUCCGUAAGGGACAGAAUGUAAAUCCUGCCUGCUCUCCCUUCUGUGCUAUCAUCAGGGAUCGAUCAUGCUAAUGCUGCUUGUUCCUUGGGCUUCCAGAGCUCCCAGAGGUCAGCGGCUCCAUUUGGGAAGGCCUGGGAGAAGCUU